GAUGAACGCUGGCGGCGUGCCUAAUACAUGCAAGUCGAGCGAACAGAUGAGGAGCUUGCUCCUCUGACGUUAGCGGCGGACGGGUGAGUAACACGUGGAUCACCUACUUAUAUGACUUGGAUAACUUCGGGAAACCGGAGCUACUACCGGCUAAUAUAUUGAACCGCAUGGUUCAAUAGUUAAUGACGGUUUUGCUGUCUCUUUUAGCUGAUUCCGCGCCGCAUUAGCUAGUUGGUAAGGUAACGGCUUACCAAGGCAACGAUGCGUAGCCGACCUGAGAGGGUGAUCGGCCACACUGGAACUGAGACACGGUCCAGACUCCUACGGGAGGCAGCAGUAGGGAAUAUUCCGCAAUGGGCGAAAGCCUGACGGAGCAACGCCGCGUGAGUGAAGAAGGUCUUCGGAUCGUAAAGCUCUGUUAUUAGGGAAGAACAGAUGUAUAAGAAAAUAUGCACGUCUUGACGGUACCUAAUCAAAAAGCCACGGCUAACUACGUG
rnacentral:rRNA from 1 species